GUAUUGGCCUACCGUGGCAAUGACGGGUAACGGGGAAUUAGGGUUCGAUUCCGGAGAGGGAGCCUGAGAAACGGCUACCACAUCUAAGGAAGGCAGCAGGCGCGCAAAUUACCCAAUCCUAAUACAGGGAGGUAGUGACAAGAAAUAACAAUACAGGACUUUUUGGUUUUGUAAUUGGAAUGAGUUAAGUAUAAACCCCUUUACAAGUAUCAAUUGGAGGGCAAGUCUGGUGCCAGCAGCCGCGGUAAUUCCAGCUCCAAUAGCGUAUAUUAAAGUUGUUGCAGUUAAAAAGCUCGUAGUUGGAUUUCUGUUAAUAAUUUAUAUAAAAUAUUUUGAUGAAUAUUUAUAUAAUAUUAACAUAAUUCAUAUUACUAUAUAUUUUAGUAUAUGAAAUUUUACUUUGAGAAAAUUAGAGUGCUUAAAGCAGGCAUAUGCCUUGAAUACUCCAGCAUGGAAUAAUAUUAAAGAUUUUUAUCUUCCUUAUUGGUUCUAAGAUAAGAAUAAUGAUUAAUAGGGACAGUUGGGGGCAUUUGUAUUUAA
rnacentral:rRNA from 1 species